UGUCUUCCAAAUAAAGACCCGUAUGAACGGCUAAAUGAGGACUCAACUGUCUCUUCUGGCCAAUCGAUGAACCUGAUCUUUCAGUACAAAAGCUGAAAUACAACCAUAAGACGAGAAGACCCUGUGGAGCUUAAGUUAAACUGUCAAUCCACCCCAUAUGACACCACACUUAAGUUGGGGCAACUUUGAAAAAACAAAACUUUCAAGACAUUAACCGACAACCAGGCUAACAAGCCUACCUGCCAACUAAAACGACCCAGUAAGACUGACCAACGAACCAAGUUACCCCAGGGAUAACAGCGCAAUCCUCUUCAAGAGUCCAUAUCGCCAAGAGGGCUUACGACCUCGAUGUUGGAUCAGGACACCCCAGUGGUGCAGCCGCCACUAACGGUUCGUUUGUUCAACGAUUAACAGU
rnacentral:rRNA from 1 species